AACGAACGCUGGCGGCAGGCCUAACACAUGCAAGUCGAGCGGAACUUAGAAGGCUUGCUUUCUAAGUUUAGCGGCGGACGGGUGAGUAACACGUGGGCAACCUGCCUAUAAGACUGGGAUAACUUCGGGAAACCGGAGCUAAUACCGGAUAAUAUAAAAGAUCACAUGGUCUUUUAUUGAAAGAUGGCUUCGGCUAUCACUUAUAGAUGGGCCCGCGGCGCAUUAGCUAGUUGGUGAGGUAAUGGCUCACCAAGGCGACGAUGCGUAGCCGACCUGAGAGGGUGAUCGGCCACACUGGGACUGAGACACGGCCCAGACUCCUACGGGAGGCAGCAGUAGGGAAUCUUCCGCAAUGGACGAAAGUCUGACGGAGCAACGCCGCGUGAGCGAUGAAGGCCUUCGGGUCGUAAAGCUCUGUUGUUAGGGAAGAACAAGUAUCGUUCGAAUAGGGCGGUACCUUGACGGUACCUAACCAGAAAGCCACGGCUAACUACGUG
rnacentral:rRNA from 1 species